GGGAUCUGGAGACAGAAAUUUCCUCCUGUUUUAGCCAGAGUACUUCACCACUGUUACUUCUCACAAAAUCCUGCAAACAGCUGAACCAUGGGACAGAAAUUGCUGAAGCCACCUAACACAGAAUUGUCACAGGAGCCUCAGACUGAUGCUGAACAGUAGGCAGCGGGAGAGCCUCAAAAACAGAGAGUCUUCAACAUGGAAAACUAGAGACCAGUGGAGGUCAUAACAAGAAGGAAUACACCCUGAACUUGUUCUGUACUACCUCACCUAGGACUAUCAGUUAAGAAGAAAUGUCAAGGGACAGCCUGUUAAAAAUUGUGUGUAAUGUGGCUUAUGCACUGCAAACACACAGAAAUGAAAAGAACAAGGAGAAAGGCACUAAAGCACCGUCUCUUCCCUAGAUUCAGUGAUCUCCUAUCCCAUCCUAUGUCUUGCAACAGGAUUUUAAAGACAUGCAACACAUUGCUGAGGAUUACACACUCAAAAAUUUUUAAUGGCAUGAAACACCUCACUUCUACAUGAUCAAAAUUUUAUUUUUCUGGACUGCUCUGAUGUAAUUCAACUAGAAAUAUAAUCCAAAGAUGGAUAUUUUAAUCUUAUAUCUAGGGAAAUUUGGCAAUGUAAUCGUAAAAUUUGCUUGUAUGGACAAGGAGAAUGUGGUUGAUCAGAAGAAUGUAAUUUGGAGCCUUUAAUGCAUCUACUCAGUUGAAACAGUGAAUGAUGAGCAAGUCAAAUGUUACAAAUACCAUUGUUUUUAUCCCUGCUAACAGUCUGCUACUUGGUGAAUUUUUUCAUGGGACUGAUUGAACAGGUUUUUUUUUGACUGCAAUUGUUUUAAGUCCAUAUUUUACCUUAGGUUUUGUUUUUGCUUCUAACUGCAAAAUAUAUAUUUUUGCUAAAAUGUACCUUUUCUAUCUGAAGUUGCUAAGGAAGUAACUGCUUAAAUCUUGUAUCUCCUGUGGUCUUAAUAGAAAUUUUAAGUUUUCUAGAUAUGAGUUCCAAGUCCUCCUUUCUAUCAGAAAUUAUUGAAUUCUUGUAUUUUUCAAAAUGGUACAACACAAACCUACCCAAGGCAAUAUAACAACAUGAGCUGGUGCAGGCAGACAUCAGACCCUGCCUGUGAGUAUUUGGAGCUGCUCCACCAUUAAAUCUGCCCACACAAACUCGUGCCUCAAAGGACUCCCCCCCAAAAAUGAUAGAACAAUCUAUGGAGAAACAGAAUAUGUACUUUAAAUUCAGUUUUAGGCAUGAAAAACAUUUUUUUUCUUCUAUUUUGCCUUCUUUGUAGUCUGUUCAGAUCAGCUGAUGGUGUCUUACAGGCAAAAAACCAGGACAGCACAGCUCCUCUGCAUAUCAAAUUUAUACCACCACAUUCCAGACAAGAUAAUCGUCUGUCGUGAAGCAGUUUUUAUGCUAUGCUGAUUCAUGAACAGAGUUAAAGAAAGGGCUGCAUCAGUGGACAUCAGUGGAUUUGCAACACACAUUUUACCUCCUUGUGUUUUAUAACACCAUCACACAUAACUGAGACCUUUAUAAAUUCUUCUACAAACAGUGGCCUUUAUAAAUUCUUUUGCAAACAGGCUUCUUGCAGUACUAGAAAAGCAAACACUACAAGAUACCCAGAAAUGUGCAUGAUAAAAGACUGGGAUCUAUCUCCUAGUAUAGAACAGUCCAUCUCACUACAUGAAUACAUUUUAAGUAUGUAUAGACCCAGCAUUGAAAACUCUAUCUAAAAACCUUCAGCUGCUGUCACCACCUCUCACUUCACAGAGAGCCACAUCCACCCAUAGAAGUGGAUGUAAUAAUAAAAACUUGCGAAGAUCAA